UUCUUCUUCUUUCUUUCUGUUAUCUUUCUCUCACUUUUCUUCUCAUGUUUUUCCUUCUCAGUCGAAUUCGAGAGAUUAAACGGAAGUUUUAUGAUCGAUAGGAGGUGUAGAAGAUUAUACAAUAGUUGGUGGUGAUGGUGAUGGUGUUUGUUGCUGAUUUAGACUCGAAGGAGGAAGUGAAAUUAAGAAUUAGGUUUUCUUAAUAAGUUCUGUGAAGAUGUAGAUGGUGAAAUUGAGUAAUUAAGGAGAAGAUUAGAGAUGGGUUGUGUUGACAUGAAGAUUUAGACUGAGUAUUAGGGUUCGAGUUAAAGAAUAAGAGAUUGGAAAGUUAGGGUUCUUAAAUUAGUUGAGGUUUUGUGUGAAAUCAAGAUGGAUGUAAGCAAUUGAAGAUGGGUUUGUUUAGAAUGAAGUAGAAUCAAGUAUAUGGAGUUGUAAUUUCAGUUUAAUUAUGACAUUGAGAACUAUAAAUUAGGGUUGUUCUUGUUCUUCCCCAAGUCAGAAAUUAGGGUUACAAGAAAUAUAUAAUAAGAAUUAGAAGAUGGAAUUGAUGUAAAGGGGAUUGAAUUAAUAAUGGGUUUGUUCUUAAUUGAAGUAUUGAUUGGAUGAAUCGGGGUUAAUAGGAUGUUUUGGGGCUGUGUUAGAGGUGAAUCGAAGAAUUAGGUCUUUGGUGGAAUUGAUUCGGCGUAUUAGCAAAGUCAGAGGAAGCUAACAGUUUGGUAAGUCUCCGAUAUGUCUUAAUUAUAGUAACAUGAGUUGAAUUGUUUUGAUUUCACAGUUUGUACAAUUAUGGAUUGAACUGAGGUUGAUGUUGGAGUUGUAGUUAGUGGAUUUUUAGGGACUGAGCUAUUCUUACCGCUGAAGGAUGAGUUUGGUUUGGAGAUUGUUAUGGUUUAUUAUUAGAGUUGAUCUGAGUUCGGUUGAGCAUCGAUGAGUGUGAUGUUAGACUUGUUCAGCUAAUGGUGGUGGUGAAGUUAUAGACAGUUGAGUUGUUAUAAGUUCAAGUUGGGUCUGGAGAGGAAAUGAAUGGAACUGUCAGUGGCAGGGAAGAGUUGAGCUGUAGUGAAGUCAUAAUGGUUAUGAUUGAUCCAGUUGAAUGAGAUGUUUUGUGUCUGAAUGUUGAAGUGAUAAUGGUGUUACUGUUGGGAUUCAAGUUGAAUGCGCAGAGGGUAGAGAGUGAAUGUGUUGGUUGAGUUGGCAGUAUUAGCUGUAUCAGCUGGUACAAAUGGAAUUGGUUGGCAGAUCAGUUAAGGUUUAGAUGAAUGGAAUGAACUGGAUUUGAGAUUGAUGUUCCUUAGAGCUGGUAAUGCUGAAAUCAGGUUAUGUGAAGUUGAGUUGGUAGUUGUAAAAAGAGAGAAAGCUUGGAACUGCAAUUUGCAGGUAAUCUGUACUAGUGUUUGUAAUUAGUUUUGAAGUUGUUUGAAUAAAUGAAAUGUUUAGAUGAAUGGAAUGAACUGGAUUUGAGAUUGAUGUUCCUUAGAGAUGGUAAUGCUGAAAUCAGGUUAUGUGAAGUUGAGUUGGUAGUUGUAAAAAGAGAGAAAGCUUGGAACUGCAAUUUGCAGGUAAUCUGUACUAGUGUUUGUAAUUAGUUUUGAAGUUGUUUGAAUAAAUGAAAUGUUUAGUGAUUGUUAGA